rnacentral:rRNA from 1 species
AGCGAACGCUGGCGGCAGGCUUAACACAUGCAAGUCGAGCGCCCGUAGCAAUACGGGAGCGGCAGACGGGUGAGUAACACGUGGGAACAUGCCCUUUGGUUCGGGAAUAACUCAGGGAAACUUGAGCUAAUACCGGAUAAGCCCUUACGGGGAAAGAUUUAUCGCCAAAGGAUUGGCCCGCGUCUGAUUAGCUAGUUGGGUGGGGGUAAUGGCCCACCCAAGGCUACGAUCAGUAGCUGUUCGAGAGGAUGAUCAGCCACAUUGGGACUGAGACACGG